UACGUAGGGGGCAAGCGUUAUCCGGAUUUACUGGGUGUAAAGGGAGCGUAGGCGGUAAUGCAAGUCAGAAGUGUAAGCCCGGGGCUCAACUCCGGGACUGCUUUUGAAACUGUGUUGCUAGAUUGCAGGAGAGGUAAGUGGAAUUCCUAGUGUAGCGGUGAAAUGCGUAGAUAUUAGGAGGAACACCAGUGGCGAAGGCGGCUUACUGGACUGUAAAUGACGCUGAGGCUCGAAAGCGUGGGGAGCAAACAGG
rnacentral:rRNA from 1 species